rnacentral:lncRNA from 1 species
CUCUGGAAUCUUCUCUCACCUCCUAGACACACACACACAGAGGCACCUCCGGGAGGCUCUGGCCAGGCCUGGGUGUGGCAGGAUAGAAAUGAAAGUUGUCCUGGCAACACACAAGAUUUCAUCAACAUUUCCAUCCCCAGCAGCUCCUGGGCCAAGCCUCAUCUUGCCCAGUGUGGCCUGUCAAGAUGACGGCCUGGAAGAGAAGCCAGACUGGGCAGCCAGGCCUCUGCCCCUCCCCUUGCCUGGUGGCACAGCCAGCACUGGCUCACUGGUGAGUUGACUAAUUUCCUCCGCCACCAUUAGUUGUCCAUGUUCAUUGCUGCCUGACACCCAACACCAGUCUGCAAGGGCACCAGGAGGGGAUGGAAGAGACAGGGUGUCUGGGGAAGGGUGGGUCUGAGUGCGAGGGGGUGGGUGAGCUUGUCUCAGAGCCUGACGCUGGCUGGUGGUAUCUGCGUUACCCAGGCUGACCCAGCUCUCUCUGAUGCAGACAGGCGAGGGCCUCACACACUUCAGAGAAUUCACACCCACAUGAUGAGGCUGAGAGGAGCAG